rnacentral:rRNA from 1 species
GAUGAACGCUGGCGGCGUGCCUAAUACAUGCAAGUCGAGCGAACGGACGAGAAGCUUGCUUUUCUGAUGUUAGCGGCGGACGGGUGAGUAACACGUGGAUAACCUACCUAUAAGACUGGGAUAACUUCGGGAAACCGGAGCUAAUACCGGAUAAUAUUUUGAACCGCAUGGUUCAAAAGUGAAAGACGGUCUUGCUGUCACUUAUAGAUGGAUCCGCGCUGCAUUAGCUAGUUGGUAAGGUAACGGCUUACCAAGGCAACGAUGCAUAGCCGACCUGAGAGGGUGAUCGGCCACACUGGAACUGAGACACGGUCCAGACUCCUACGGGAGGCAGCAGUAGGGAAUCUUCCGCAAUGGGCGAAAGCCUGACGGAGCAACGCCGCGUGAGUGAUGAAGGUCUUCGGAUCGUAAAACUCUGUUAUUAGGGAAGAACAUAUGUGUAAGUAACUGUGCACAUCUUGACGGUACCUAAUCAGAAAGCCACGGCUAACUACGUGCCAGCAGCCGCGGUAAUACGUAGGUGGCAAGCGUUAUCCGGAAUUAUUGGGCGUAAAGCGCGCGUAGGCGGUUUUUUAAGUCUGAUGUGAAAGCCCACGGCUCAACCGUGGAGGGUCAUUGGAAACUGGAAAACUUGAGUGCAGAAGAGGAAAGUGGAAUUCCAUGUGUAGCGGUGAAAUGCGCAGAGAUAUGGAGGAACACCAGUGGCGAAGGCGACUUUCUGGUCUGUAACUGACGCUGAUGUGCGAAAGCGUGGGGAUCAAACAGGAUUAGAUACCCUGGUAGUCCACGCCGUAAACGAUGAGUGCUAAGUGUUAGGGGGUUUCCGCCCCUUAGUGCUGCAGCUAACGCAUUAAGCACUCCGCCUGGGGAGUACGACCGCAAGGUUGAAACUCAAAGGAAUUGACGGGGACCCGCACAAGCGGUGGAGCAUGUGGUUUAAUUCGAAGCAACGCGAAGAACCUUACCAAAUCUUGACAUCCUUUGACGACUCUAGAGAUAGAGCCUUCCCCUUCGGGGGACAAAGUGACAGGUGGUGCAUGGUUGUCGUCAGCUCGUGUCGUGCGAUGUUGGGUUAAGUCCCGCAACGAGCGCAACCCUUAAGCUUAGUUGCCAUCAUUAAGUUGGGCACUCUAAGUUGACUGCCGGUGACAAACCGGAGGAAGGUGGGGAUGACGUCAAAUCAUCAUGCCCCUUAUGAUUUGGGCUACACACGUGCUACAAUGGACAAUACAAAGGGCAGCGAAACCGCGAGGUCAAGCAAAUCCCAUAAAGUUGUUCUCAGUUCGGAUUGUAGUCUGCAACUCGACUACAUGAAGCUGGAAUCGCUAGUAAUCGUAGAUCAGCAUGCUACGGUGAAUACGUUCCCGGGUCU